rnacentral:tRNA from 1 species
UAGUUCAGUUGGUUAGAGCGUCAGAUUGUGGUUCUGAAUGUCGUGGGUUCGAAUCCCACCAG